rnacentral:rRNA from 1 species
UACGUAGGGUGCGAGCGUUAUUCGGAAUUACUGGGCGUAAAGCGUGCGUAGGCGGUUCGUUAAGUUCGUUGUGAAAGCCCCGGGCUCAACCUGGGAAUGGCAAUGGAAACUGGCGGGCUGGAGUAUGGCAGAGGGGAGUGGAAUUCCGCGUGUAGCAGUGAAAUGCGUAGAGAUGCGGAGGAACACCGAUGGCGAAGGCAGCCCCCUGGGCCAAUACUGACGCUGAGGCACGAAAGCGUGGGGAGCAAACAGG